rnacentral:pre_miRNA from 2 species
AUGUUACUCCCUCCAAUCCAUAUCGCUUGUCUUAGAUUUGUCUAGAUAUAGAUACAGAUGUAUCUAGACAAAUCUAAGACAAGCGAUAUGGAUCGGAGGGAGUAUUAA